UAAACACACGGUUUUCUUUCUUCCAGUAUUCUCACAAACACAAACCAGAUGGAAGAGGCCAAACAACAGAUCAGCUAAUUAUACAUUCUGAAGUUUUCUUUCAUUGCGAACUUGCACUGUGUGUCGCCGUUGUUGUGUUGGCGUCACAUUGAUUCGUGGUGAGGACGGGGUAGCUUGAUCUGGCCUCACUUUACAACUAGGACCUCCAACUUCGACGGGCGUUUCACUGCAUUUUACUGAGUUGGACGUCUGAAA